rnacentral:rRNA from 1 species
CCUACGGGAGGCAGCAGUGGGGAAUAUUGGACAAUGGGCGCAAGCCUGAUCCAGCAAUGCCGCGUGAGUGAUGAAGGCCUUAGGGUCGUAAAGCUCUUUUACCAGGGAUGAUAAUGACAGUACCUGGAGAAUAAGCUCCGGCUAACUCCGUGCCAGCAGCCGCGGUAAUACGGAGGGAGCUAGCGUUGUUCGGAAUUACUGGGCGUAAAGCGUACGUAGGCGGUUAUUCAAGUCAGAGGUGAAAGCCCGGGGCUCAACCCCGGAACGGCCUUUGAAACUAGGUAGCUAGAAUCUUGGAGAGGUCAGUGGAAUUCCGAGUGUAGAGGUGAAAUUCGUAGAUAUUCGGAAGAACACCAGUGGCGAAGGCGACUGACUGGACAAGUAUUGACGCUGAGGUACGAAAGCGUGGGGAGCAAACAGGAUUAGAUACCCUGGUAGUCCACGCCGUAAACGAUGAUAACUAGCUGUUCGGGCACUUGGUGCUUGAGUGGCGCAGCUAACGCAUUAAGUUAUCCGCCUGGGGAUACGGUCGCAAGAUUAAAACUCAAAAGAUAGUACGACGNGNGAGAGCGACGACGACGACGACGGAGGAGAG